rnacentral:tRNA from 1 species
GGCGCGGUGGCCUAAUGGUAAGGCGUUGCUUUCCGGCUAAGGAUCAUGGCAAAGAUUGUGGGUUCGAGUCCCAUCCGCGUCG